AGGCUACUUGCCGAGCUACUUCAGUUCGGAGUGGUCGCUGGCUCAGUUCCGGCUCCCCGAAGGCGUCAAGUACUCGGUGGCGUUCGAGCCGAAAAAUAACAACACCAUUCUCAUCAUCGGCACCAACGGAAGCUUCUACCGGUGCCAGUUCGACCCCGAGAACGCAGGCGACAUGGUGCAGCUGUUGCACAGAAAAUUCAUGAAGAUCAACUAGUCAGGCAACAAUGGGAGAAUUAUAGGUUAACUAGGAAGAACCUUAGAGUGGGCUACUAACUAUUCUGAGAGCCCAUUUAGGUGAGCAUUAUGAGAGAAUUAUCAUUAUGAAGUGAUCUGUGUAGUAGUAAGCCAUGAACAUUUCCCAAAUUGAACAUGUGCCCCUUUCUGUAUAUAAGCACUGAGCCUCUCUAUACAUUUGCCA